rnacentral:lncRNA from 1 species
GUUUUAGUUGGAAAGUUGUGUUUGCGCGCUCCAUGAAGACAUUACGCACCUAUUGAACAUACUUCUUUUGGAAAGAAGUAUUAUAGUUUGAUUACAUUUUAGGGUAUCUGAGGAGUAAAUAGAAACAUAUUUUGACUUGUUGAAACAAAGUUUAGGGGUAGAUUUUCAGAUUCCUUUCUCUGCAAGUUGAAUGAGUGGAUUACUCAAAUCGAUGGCACCAACUAAAUGGACUUUUUGGGAUAUAAAGAAGGAUUUUAUCUAACAAAACGACACUACAUGUUAUAGCUUGGACCCUUUGGAUGACAAAUCAGAGGAAGAUUUUCAAAAGCCUCUCUUGUGAAGCUCUUGAAAGAGAAGCACUUCAAUGAAUGUAGUCUGACAGAGACAGGGCUUGACACCAUAUGUCUUCAAAAGGCAGCAGCAGCGGGAAUUUCACGGCAAGGUGGCUUUGUCAGUGAAGGUCGGCCGUGGCGAUCUGGCCUUGGCUGGGCUUCCGUACGAUGGGAAUGAAAACACUCCGUGGCAGUCUGUGCAAAGUGGCAUGGGAAAGCAGAGGACUUGAGCCCUAGGACCAUGCCUCAGGACUACCUGGCUUGAUGACUCCUUGCUGUCCCCAGUUCACCUGGCCGUGCUGCUGCUCCAGUUCCAACUGUUCUGCCUGCAGCUAUGGAACCCUGACCUGUUCGCCGGACGUGCUACCUGUCCCAGACCUGUUGUCCCAGACCUGCUGGAACCCUGACCUAUUCACCGGACGUGCUACCUGUCCCAGACCUGCUGUUUUCAACUCUCUAGAGACAGCAGGAGCGGUAGAGAUACUCUCAAAGAUCGGCUAUGAAAAAGCCAACUGACACUUACUCUUGUGUUACUGACUUGUUGCACCCUCGACAACUACUAUGAUUAUUAUUAUUUGACAAUGCUGGUCAUUUAUGAACAUUUGAACAUCUAGGCUAUGUGCUGUUAUAAUCUCCACCCGGCACAGCCAGAAGAGGACUGGCCACCCCUCAUAGCCUGGUUCCUCUCUAGGUUUCUUCCUAGGUUUUGGCCUUUCUAGGGAGUUUUUCCUAGCCACCGUGCUUCUACACCUGCAUUGCUUGCUGUUUGGGGUUUUAGGCUGGGUUUCUGUACAGCACUUUGUGAUAUCAGCUGAUGUAAGAAGGGCUAUAUAAAUACAUUUGAUUUGAUUUGAUUUGAAUACAUGUUAGAAUCACUUUGUAACGAUCGUCUGGAAGAGGGGACCAAGAUGCAGCGUGGUAAGUGGUCAUAAUGAUUUUUAAUGAUACACUUCAAAAAAUAAACUGGGAAAAUGAAAGCCAACAGUUCUGUCGGUGCAAACCACACAACAGAAACAAUCACCCACAAAACCCAAAGGAAAAAUAGGCUACUUAUGUGUGACUCCCAAUCAGCAACAAUGAACUUCAGCUGUGCCUGAUUGGGAGCCACACACGGCCCAAAACAAAGAAAUACAAAAACAUAGAAAAUAUAACACCCUGGCCUAACCAAAAAUAAAGAACAAAAACCCCUCUCUAUGGCCAGCGCAUUACAGUACCCCCCCACCAAAGGUGCGGACUCUGGCCGCAAAACCUGACUCUGAAGGGGAGGUUCCGGGUGGGCCUUCUUACGGCGGCGGCUCAGGUGCAGGACGUGGCCUCCACUCCACC